AACGCACAUUGCGCCCUUUGGUAUUCCGAAGGGCAUGCCUGUUCGAGCGUCAUUAUCAACCCUCAAGCCCGGCUUGUUAUUGGGUCCCUGUAUCGUUAAAAACGAUAGGCCCGAAAGAUAAUGGCGGUGUCAGGAUUGACCCCAGGUGCAGCGAGCUUAUAGCAUACACUGAAAGGUUAUCUUGGCCCCGGCCUAGUUAAAAACAUUUUUCUAAGGUUGACCUCGGAUCAGGUAGGAAUACCCGCUGAACUUAA
rnacentral:misc_RNA from 2 species